GCGGUCGUGGCCGAGUGGUUAAGGCGAUAGACUAAGUCUGUUGGGGAAUAGACCAAGAUCUCCCCGCACAGGUUCGAAUCCUGUCGACUGCG
rfam:Lingula anatina scaffold111, whole genome shotgun sequence.